rnacentral:tRNA from 1 species
CAAGUUAUACCUUAAAGCUAAGGGUUGUUAUUUACAUUAACAAAAGAAUUGUGCAAGUCAGUUUAACUUGA